rnacentral:misc_RNA from 1 species
UUUCCGUAGGUGAACCUGCGGACGGAUCAUUCAUAAUAAAGUGUUUUAUGGCACUUUUUAAAAAUCCAUAUCCACCUUGUGUGCAAUGUUAGAUCUCGUCAAUCUUGGCGAGAUUUUUAUACAUCAACUCAUUCUUUAACUAAUUUGUCUGAAAAAUAUAUGAAUACUUAAUUCAAAAUACAACUUUCAACAACGGAUCUCUUGGCUCUC